AGCUCUCCCAGCUCCAUGGGACAGACAGGAAGUUCACCUUGCUGCAUGCCCUUGUGGAGCAGAUCAUGUUGCACGAAGCCGGCUUGGCCACUUUUCCCCAAGAGUUGGCGGAAUUCGAAACUGUCCCUGGAGCUUCCAUUAAAGGCCUAACUGCUGAAGUGGAUGAUGACGAUUGAGAAGUACCACACAGAUCUCACCCUGCUGACAAAGAGGCUAAAUUCGGAGAGCCAAUGGAUCAAGAUUCUCAGGAGCUGUUUGGAUUGGUGUGCCAGUUUGUCAACGACUUCAAGAGGACACAUACUGAAAUCCGAUAACAAUAUUUGCUGUCCUUGAGAUACUAUCUAUGUAAAUUCAGCCAGUCUGAAUAGAAUGUAGUUAUAAUUUGUGUACCACACAAGCUGUGCUAUUUCAGUAGUAAAAAAAACCUGGCAUUCUACUGAGAAACAUAACUCACAGCUGUGACUAAUAUUAUGAUCAGGCGGCUAGACUUGAGUACUGCAAUUUCAGUAGGAAAACAUUUUAGUGUACAGUACUAUGCUGAAAUUACAACAAGUCUACACUGAGUGUACAAAACAUGCUCUUACUAUGACAUAGACUUACCAGGUGAAUCCCGGUGAAAGCUCUGAUCCCUUAUUGAUGUCACUUGUUAAAUCCACUUCAAUCAGUAUAGAUGAAAGGGAGGAGACAGGUUAAUUAAAGAAGGAUUUUUCAACCUCAAGACAUGGAAUGUGUAUGUGUGCCAUUGAGAGGGUGAAUGGGCAAGACAAAAGAUUUAA